UACGUAGGGGGCUAGCGUUGUCCGGAUUUAUUGGGCGUAAAGAGCGUGUAGGCGGCCAGGUAGGUCUGCUGUGAAAACUCGAGGCUCAACCUCGAGAUGUCGGCGGAAACCAUCUGGCUAGAGUCCGGAAGAGGAAAGUGGAAUUCCUGGGUGUAGCGGUGAAAUGCGCAGAUAUCAGGAGGAACACCGGUGGCGAAGGCGGAUCUCUGGGCCAUUACUGACGCUGAGGAGCGAAAGCGUGGGGAGCGAACAGG
rnacentral:rRNA from 1 species